AUUGAACGCUGGCGGCAUGCCUAACACAUGCAAGUCGAACGGCAGCGCGGGCUUCGGCCUGGCGGCCAGUUGCGGACGGGUGAGUAAUUCAUCGGAACGUGCCCAGUAGUGGGGGAUAGCUCGGCGAAAGACGGACUAAUACCGCAUACGACCUGAGGGUGAAAGCGGGGGAUCUUCGGACCUCGCGCUAUUGGAUGGGCCGAUGACAGAUUAGCUAGUUGGUGGGGUAAAGGCCUACCAAGGCGACGAUCUGUAGCUGGUCUGAGAGGAUGACCAGCCACACUGGAACUGAGACACGGCCCAGACUCCUACGGGAGGCAGCAGUGGGGAAUUUUGGACAAUGGGCGAAAGCCUGAUCCAGCAAUGCCGCGUGUGUGAUGAAGGCCUUCGGGUUGUAAAGCACUUUUGGCGGGAACGAAAAGCAGUGUGCCAAUACCUCGGUGUGAUGACGGUACCCACAGAAUAAGCACCGGCUAACUACGUG
rnacentral:rRNA from 1 species